CCUACGGGAGGCACCAGUGGGGAAUAUUGCACAAUGGGCGCAAGCCUGAUGCAGCCAUGCCGCGUGUAUGAAGAAGGCCUUCGGGUUGUAAAGUACUUUCAGCGAGGAGGAAGGCAUUAAGGUUAAUAACCUUGGUGAUUGACGUUACUCGCAGAAGAAGCACCGGCUAACUCCGUGCCAGCAGCCGCGGUAAUACGGAGGGUGCAAGCGUUAAUCGGAAUUACUGGGCGUAAAGCGCACGCAGGCGGUCUGUCAAGUCGGAUGUGAGAUCCCCGGGCUCAACCUGGGAACUGCAUCCGAAAUUGGCAGGCUAGAGUCCUGUAGAGGGGGGUAGAAUUCCAGGUGUAGCGGUGAAGUGCGUAGAGAUCUGGAGGAAUACCGGUGGCGAAGGCGGCCCCCUGGACAAAGACUGACGCUCAGGUGCGAAAGCGUGGGGAGCAAACAGGAUUAGAUACCCCGGUAGUC
rnacentral:rRNA from 1 species